GGAGGAAAGUAGGGGAUCGCAAGACCUUGCGCUAAAGGAGCGGCCGAUGUCUGAUUAGCUAGUUGGUGGGGUAAAGGCUUACCAAGGCAACGAUCAGUAGUUGGUCUGAGAGGACGACCAACCACACUGGGACUGAGACACGGCCCAGACUCCUACGGGAGGCAGCAGUGGGGAAUUUUGGACAAUGGGCGAAAGCCUGAUCCAGCCAUGCCGCGUGAGUGAAGAAGGCCUUCGGGUUGUAAAGCUCUUUUAGUCGGAAAGAAAGAGUUGCAAUGAAUAAUUGUGAUUUAUGACGGUACCGACAGAAAAAGCACCGGCUAACUACGUGCCAGCAGCCGCGGUAAUACGUAGGGUGCGAGCGUUAAUCGGAAUUACUGGGCGUAAAGGGUGCGCAGGCGGUCUUGCAAGUCAGAUGUGAAAGCCCCGGGCUUAACCUGGGAAUUGCGUUUGAAACUACAAAGCUAG
rnacentral:rRNA from 1 species